GACGAACGCUGGCGGCGUGCUUAACACAUGCAAGUCGAACGGAAAGGCCCUUCGGGGUACUCGAGUGGCGAACGGGUGAGUAACACGUGGGUGAUCUGCCCUGCACUUUGGGAUAAGCCUGGGAAACUGGGUCUAAUACCGAAUAGGACCACGCGCUUCAUGGUGUGUGGUGGAAAGCUUUUGCGGUGUGGGAUGGGCCCGCGGCCUAUCAGCUUGUUGGUGGGGUAAUGGCCUACCAAGGCGACGACGGGUAGCCGGCCUGAGAGGGUGACCGGCCACACUGGGACUGAGAUACGGCCCAGACUCCUACGGGAGGCAGCAGUGGGGAAUAUUGCACAAUGGGCGCAAGCCUGAUGCAGCGACGCCGCGUGAGGGAUGACGGCCUUCGGGUUGUAAACCUCUUUCAAUAGGACGAAGCGCAAGUGACGGUACCUAUAGAAGAAGCACCGGCCAACUACGUG
rnacentral:rRNA from 1 species